UUUUUUUUUUUUUUUGCUUCUGUGACUUUUUUUUAACUAAAACUAAGCAAAAAAAUAAAAAAAAAUCAAUUUUAAUUAAUUUUAUUUAUUUAUUUUAAGCAAAAAAGUAAAAAAAAAAUAAUGUCAAACGGAGCCUAAGUGUAAGUAUUGAAAAGUGUAAAAAUUGUAUAAAAAAAUGAAAGUGUAUUGAAAAAUAAAAUUAUUAAUUCUUUUGGCUUGACGGUAUACUUUCUAAAAUUAUUUUAAAACAAUUUUU
rnacentral:lncRNA from 1 species